GAAGAAAUGAAGAACAGACCCUGACAGAGGCAGAGAAGGGGAAUCGAUUGGGGAAAGGUAAGUUCAACAUGAAAUUGCCGCUUAAGUUCUUCAACAACAUUUACAGGACAGGAGGAAAUAGGAAGGAAGCAUUCUGUUUAAAAACAAAAGCAAAACACUGGCCAGCACUGUGUUAUUAUUUGUUCUGUCGUCCUUUAAUAUCCAAUAUACCAAAAG